rnacentral:lncRNA from 1 species
UUGGCAUCAGAAGUUUCAUGUUCACUUUUACUUUGUCUUUUUACUCCUGUUAUUUCUUUGCCCCUCUUUGCUGAGGUUUCUUUAUCUUCUUUCUUGGCCUGUUCACUUUCUUUCUUCUCCAUUUCUUCUUUUGCUUUUUGUUGCUUCUCUGUAAUUUCAUUUUCUUCAGCUUCUUGUUUCUUUUUGGCUUUUUGUUCUUGUUCUUCCUUCCUCAGUUUCUCUUUCUGUUCCUCUUGCUGCCUUUCCCGAAGUUCUUUUUCUUGUUUGUUUUUUUCCAUUAG